rnacentral:tRNA from 1 species
GGGGAUGUAGCUCAGUGGUAGAGUACUUGCCAAGCAUGCACAAGGCCCUGGGUUCAAUCCCCAGUACUACCA